GACGAACGCUGGCGGCGUGCCUAAUACAUGCAAGUUGAGCGCUGAAGGCUGGUACUUGUACCAACUGGAUGAGCAGCGAACGGGUGAGUAACGCGUGGGGAAUCUGCCUUUGAGCGGGGGACAACAUUUGGAAACGAAUGCUAAUACCGCAUAAAAACUUUAAACACAAGUUUUAAGUUUGAAAGAUGCAAUUGCAUCACUCAAAGAUGAUCCCGCGUUGUAUUAGCUAGUUGGUGAGGUAAAGGCUCACCAAGGCGAUGAUACAUAGCCGACCUGGGAGGGUGAUAGGCCACAUUGGGACUGAGACACGGCCCAAACUCCUACGGGAGGCAGCAGUAGGGAAUCUUCGGCAAUGGACGAAAGUCUGACCGAGCAACGCCGCGUGAGUGAAGAAGGUUUUCGGAUCGUAAAACUCUGUUGGUAGAGAAGAACGUUGGUGGGAGUGGAAAGCGCAUCAAGUGACGGUAACUACCCAGAAAGGGACGGCUAACUACGUG
rnacentral:rRNA from 1 species